rnacentral:rRNA from 1 species
UAACGGCGAGUGAACCGGGAAGAGCUCAAAUUUGAAAUCUGGCGUGCUCAGUGCGUCCGAGUUGUAAUCUAUAGAGUCGUUUUCCGUGCCGGACUGUGUCCAAGUCCCUUGGAACAGGGUAUCAAAGAGGGUGAUAAUCCCGUACUUGACACAAUGACCGGUGCUCUGUGAUACGUCUUCUACGAGUCGAGUUGUUUGGGAAUGCAGCUCAAAAUGGGUGGUGAGUUCCAUCUAAAGCUAAAUAUUGGCGAGAGACCGAUAGCGAACAAGUACCGUGAGGGAAAGAUGAAAAGCACUUUGGAAAGAGAGUUAAACAGUACGUGAAAUUGUUAAAAGGGAAACGAUUGAAGUCAGUCGUGACUGAGAGGCUCAGCCGGUUCUGCCGGUGUAUUCCCCUCAGUCGGGUCAACAUCAGUUUUGUUCGGUGGAUAAGGGCGGUUGGAAGGUGGCACCCUCGGGUGUGUUAUAGCCAACUGUCGCAUACAUCGGAUGAGACUGAGGAAUGCAGCUCGCCUUUAUGGCCGGGGUUCGCCCACGUUCGAGCUUAGGAUGUU